ACGCGAAGAACCUUACCAGCUCUUGACAUGGGUAGGACCGGUGCAGAGAUGCACUUUUCCCGCAAGGGACCUACCGCACAGGUGCUGCAUGGCUGUCGUCAGCUCGUGUCGUGAGAUGUUGGGUUAAGUCCCGCAACGAGCGCAACUCUCGCCUUUAGUUGCCAGCAUGUUUGGGUGGGCACUCUAAAGGAACUGCCGGUGACAAGCCGGAGGAAGGUGGGGAUGACGUCAAGUCCUCAUGGCCCUUAUGGGCUGGGCUACACACGUGCUACAAUGGCGGUGACAACGGGAUGCCAGGCAGCGAUGCCGAGCCGAUCCCAAAAAGCCGUCUCAGUUCAGAUUGCAGCCUGCAACUCGGCUGCAUGAAGGUGGAAUCGCUAGUAAUCGCGGAUCAGCACGCCGCGGUGAAUACGUUCCCGGGCCUUGUACACACCGAAGGGC
rnacentral:rRNA from 1 species